AUAUUUUCGCAUACCAAGCCAUUACACAAUUCUUAGAUGUAUCCAACAGAAGCAUAAAAUCAACAUCUUGAAAACAACUCCAACUUAAUCUUCUGCAACAAAUGGAUGUACAGCAAUGUGUGCAUGGAGUUCACAAUAACUUUUAUGGUGAAAGAACUUGUUAGCAGAAUCUCAGCAGCACCGGCAUGUUAAAAAAUCUGAGCACGUGUAUGGUCGUGACUUUUCUUCAAUUUCUGAGGCUGUUGGUAAACUUUCCAGGUUGUAUGUGUUGCUUUGAGCACAGCAGAACUCGUAUAAAUUCCUGCAAACUCCUUUACUGAAUGGAUGCACCCGCUCAGGAAUUCCCCUUAAAUAUG
rnacentral:misc_RNA from 1 species